rnacentral:rRNA from 1 species
GUCCACGCCGUAAACGAUGGACACUAGUUGUUGGAAUUAUUCAGUGACUAAGCGAAAGUAAUAAGUGUCCCACCUGGGGAGUACGAUCGCAAGAUUGAAACUCAAAGGAAUUGACGGGGGCCCGCACAAGCGGUGGAGCAUGUGGUUUAAUUCGAUGAUACGCGAGGAACCUUACCAGGGCUUAAAUGUAGAGUGACAGGUCUAGAGAUAGAUUUUUCUUCGGACACUUUACAAGGUGCUGCA